rnacentral:rRNA from 1 species
GAUGAGCGCUGGCGGCGUGCCUAAUACAUGCAAGUCGAGCGAACGGACGAGAAGCUUGCUUCUCUGAUGUUAGCGGCGGACGGGUGAGUAACACGUGGAUAACCUACCUAUAAGACUGGGAUAACUUCGGGAAACCGGAGCUAAUACCGGAUGAUAUGUUGAACCGCAUGGUUCAAAAGUGAAAGACGGUCUUGCUGUCACUUAUAGAUGGAUCCGCGCUGCAUUAGCUAGUUGGUAAGGUAACGGCUUACCAAGGCAACGAUGCAUAGCCGACCUGAGAGGGUGAUCGGCCACACUGGAACUGAGACACGGUCCAGACUCCUACGGGAGGCAGCAGUAGGGAAUCUUCCGCAAUGGGCGAAAGCCUGACGCAGCAACGCCGCGUGUGUGAUGAAGGUCUUCGGAUCGUAAAGCUCUGUUAUUAGGGAAGAACAUAUGUGUGAGUAACUGUGCACAUCUUGACGGUACCUAAUCAGAAAGCCACGGCUAACUACGUG